UGCUGGUUCCCUUUGGUCACUGCAGCCUGUAGCGAACUAGGAAACUGGACUGUUCCUUUUACGUAAAAACUUUGGCAGAUGAAGAACUCUGUAGCCAGCAGGACCCACUAAACAAAAUGAAGAGUCAAAUCUUUUCUGGGACACUGAAAUGUCUCUCUCAGACAGACACAAAGUCUCUAAGACAAAAGCUACAUUCUGGAAGGCUUUGUAACUUGUUACAUUUUGUGGUGGAAAAUUAACCACGUGUUGUGUUUGAAAUCAGAAAUGCCUGAGGAACUUUAUUCAAGUGUACGUAUACAGGGAGAGUCAGCCAUAGCAGCUCUGUGUAAGCAGAAAAUACAGGAGUUAAUAUAGCUGAACACCACAAUUUGUUAAGCACACUUCCUUUAACAGCAUUUUCCCUUAUUUGGCAAAAAGUACAGGCUCUAAUAGUAGUUUUCCUUAUUUUGGGAUAUAGCAAAAUAAGCUUUUCCUGUUAUUGACAGGUUGUUCUUUGCGGUUAGUGAGUCUUUCCUAAUUUCUAGCUGUUAGGGUUACAUUUCCUCAGCUGUUCUGUUGCAGCUGCCCCACAGUGGAAUUUUCCUCAGCCUCUACUUAUGCUUUUACACAUACAGUUAGCUUGACCAAAGUUUUAGGCCUACUUAGAAGUUUAGUCCUACUGGAUUUUUUCCCCACAGAUAGCAAGCACCAGAUUGUUUAACACAGGCCACUAAACUGCCAUCAGACGGCAGCAGCUCUCUCUCUCUCUCUCUUUCUUUCUUUCAUAUAUAUAUAUAUAUUUAAAAGCGCUCCCAGAGAAGCUGUAUUGUAAUGUAGAAUAACUAUCAAGGGUUCUUAAACUUCAUUGCACUGUGAGCCCCUUCUGACAACAAAAAUCACUUCACAACCCCAGGAGGGGGGACCGAAGCCUGAACCUGCCCAAGUCCCACUGCCCUGGGUGGAGGGGCCACAGCCUGAGCCCCACCGCUCUGGGCGGGUGGGUGUGUGGCAAAGCUGAAUCUCAGGGGCUGCAGCCUCAGGCAGGGGGCCCGCAACCUGAGUCCUGCCACCCAGGGCCGAAGCCCGAGGGCUUCGGCACUGGGCGACCCCAUUCAAAGGGGGUCACAACCCGCUUUGGGGUACCAACCCACAGUUUGAGAACCGCUGGAGAGGUAUUUGGAGGCUGGGACUGCCCAAGAAACUUGUUUAAAUACACUUGUGCAAUCACUGCAAACACACUUUCAUGGACAGUGCAGCCCUCUUAAAUACCUGAACACCUCUCUUCAGAGAACAUCUUUCCUCGUACACUUGUAUGGUGUUCUUAAUUGAGGAGUCCAGCAUAUUUACUCUGAGCCCAUUAUUAGGGGGUUCAUUACAGGUGCACGUAAAUAGUCUCAGGGCCCUACCAUCAACAAAACCCUAACCCUGGCCCAUGACCCCUUAAACCCUGCCCGCAUGUCACUGGAAGUCCCACCCUAUGGGGGUAUUACUUCCUGGGUCAAGGCGGCCACAUGGCCAGAAGCAAGGUGUGACAUGUGACCCCUCUAAGAACUCCUGCCACCUCCCUCUACCAAUCAGGAGGGGUUUCAGCCACAUAGGACAGCCCCGAGAGCAGAUUUGACCAAAAUAGGGCAGGUUCUGGGACGUGGUGCACCACCCAGAAGAGGGUCAAGUGACCCCUCUAAGAACUCCUCCCAGGACCCUCUGCCAAUCAGAGCACAGCACCAUCACCCCAUAAGUCUUGGUGCCGGGCAGAAGAGGCCAUCUCUUACCAAGAACGCGUGUUUUAGAACUUGUGGAAACAUGGACUCCUUUACCACCCCCGUGAGGACUUCGGACUUUGUUUUAGCCCUGAGGGUCUUUGACCAUCCGUGGAGAAAGCGCUACAUCAGCAACAGUUCUGAAUAGGAGGAGGGAGAGACCGAGGGGAGCCCUUUGGCCCAGCCAUUGAUGGAUAUGCCUGAACCUGCAACCCAACUGCUUGUGAGACACCCCAACAAGCAUGGUGGCCGCUUGUUGUCCACCCCCCUGGAGGAGGAAGGCGAACGCAGCUCGGGGGAAUCACCGGCGGACAAGGUGAAUGGAAAAGACGUUGCUCAGCUAGAUGACGCCUUUCUAGAGGACCCGGAGGCCCUGGACAGCGUCACAUUAAGCAGCGAAGAUGAACCGGGCUCACCUUGUUUUUGCUCAACACCGAUACAAAUUGUUGAAGAGGACUCCAAGAAUGCGGCUAUGAGGAGUUUAGGAGGAGGCUUGGCAUGGAACUAACUGAGCCAGUGCCAUGUCGUGAGCGUAAAGAAGCCAUGCGGACUAUUGUAUGCGUUGCUGUCUAUGCUGUCCUUAACCACUGUCUCAGGGAAAAGCUUUUUGAAGAUUGUGAGGGCUAUGUCAUAGAUGCACCAGCCCAAUGGCGCCAUGACUGUGUGACUUGGACUUCAGUGGAUAUAAACUGCAAGCUCCAGGGCCUGGGUGCAGAGCUGUGUUUGGAAAGCUUAUUAAACACUGUUAUUGCCAAAAGUUAUGCUAUGCAAUGUCUGUGCCUCACCCAAGAACAUUUAGCACAAGGGGUGACCUUGAUAAAUGCUGUGCAAUUCAGUGGCGAUCCUGACCGUGUUUUAAAGAAAAUGACCAAACCGGAAGAUGCCUGCUUACAGCUUUAUAUUGACCGUCUGGUCUGCACAAAAAGUUACAGAAUCCUGCUUAAGAAAAAGACUAUUUGUAAGAAAUCUAAAAGGAUUAAGUU